rnacentral:lncRNA from 1 species
GGUUCUCGGAGAUGAAGAAAGGUUCUGUAUGUCUGCCUUGCUAUGGAAGGUGAAGGUGGACAGUUAUAGGAAGUCUUUUAAUACCUGUAGAGGUACUAUUCUUUCACUCGUGUCAGCAACCAAUGCGUGAUUGAUCGGUAUGGCUUCACGUGAUUUCUUCUUUAUCAGAAAUCUUCGACAAAUUGCCCGUAAUUUCCCCCAAG